UGUUUGGGGAGAGGAGGUUGUGCAGGGACCCAGAAUGCCCCGCAAUCAACCCCCUUCCCACAAGACCCAUCGUCAAACUGGAGAGAGCUGCACUGUGGGAUAGCUGCCCUAGAGCGCUGCUCUCAUCCGCGAAGGAAGUGCUGCUAAUGUAAACAUUCUCUGUCGCCUGAGGAAUUAAGUGAGUACACAAACCAGCACUUUUCUUUCACCGGUUCCCUGUCACCAGUGAAACUUACAGCGCAAAAACUCUGCAAGUAUAGACAUACCCUUGGUUGGAAGGAUUCUCUCUGUCCCUUCAUCCUUAGAAGAUGAGCACAUGACCCUUCAGACUGUUUUUUACAGUGUUGUGUACAACACCUAGCACACAAAUGGGGCCCUGUUCUGCAUGGAGCCUUUGGCUGCUGCCACAAUAUAAAUGGUAAUAUUGUUGUGCUGAAAAGCGUUAAUGGCUGCCAUCAGGUCUGAAACACAAUCACAGACCUUGUUAAAACCUUUGUGUGUACCAAGCACUCUUAACGUGCCUUGUGUGGUUGAGGCGCAGCACUGGGAAAAAAACCAUCUCCACGAGGGGCAAAGCUCCCAGCGCUGGGGCACUGUUUACACUGGUGCCUUAUAGCCCUGAGACUUGCUGCACUCAGGGGGGUGUUUUUUCAGCCCCCUGAGAGAAAGUUGCAGCGCUGUUAAUUGCCAGUGUAGACAAGCCCUUAUAUGCUCCACAGAAGGAGCAAUCAAGCUGCUUUGUGUAGUAAACAAAGCAAUGGCUGCAUGGCUGGCCCUGAAUCUACCCAGUAGAUUAACAGGGAAAAUGCAGGGGCAACAGGCUUGUCCUCACCUACAGCAUAGUGCAGCUUUGCUGCUGUGGCGCUUUAGUGAAGAUGCUACGACACCGAUGGGAGAGCUUCUCCCUUCAGGGUAGUUAAUCGACCUCCUGAGAGGCAGUAGCUACAGCGCUGUCCAUGGUGGGAGGGAGGGAUUUUUCACACCCCUUUGUGAUGGAGUUAUACUGAUCUAGAUCUGCAUAGUAGACAUGGUCUAAGAGAUCAGCUGUAAACUGUGUGUGUUGAAGAAAGCCAGGUAAAGGAGUGAGAAUGUGACCGUGAGAGGAAGCAGAGGGACAUAGCUUCUUGGGCACAGACUUUGCUGGAGAGGCUAACUUGGGGAUUUCCAGCAGGGAAACUGCCUACGGUUGCUUGUUUCUGCUGUGUUCAGGGAGACAGGCCUGUGGGUACAUUCUUUGUAGGUAAACAAGAUUAUACCAAGCAUACACUGACACGCAUCCCCAGUUUCUCAGCCUAACAGAAACGAUGCUGCUUGACUGACUGCCUGGACCACUUUGACUACAAGCUUCAGUCCACCUCCUGCCAAAGGGGGCUCUGUGCAGCUGCACAGCCUGCUCCUCAUUCCUGAAGACUCAGCAGAGAUCUUUCCAGUGCCCAGGCCUCGUGGGUGGAUAACUUGGGUACAAAACUAGACUCAAGCUCCACCCGUAGCUAUUGUUUUUAUUCCUGUAGUGCCCAGAAGAUGCAACCAAGAUCAGGGCCCCAUUGUGGUAGGUACUGUGCCCACACAUAGUAAGAGCCAACCCCUGCCUCAGAGAGCUUAGAAUGUAGAGAAGACAAAGGGUGGGGGAAACUGAGGCACAGCAAAGGAACGUGACUUGCCCAAGGUCACCCAUUAGGCCAGUGGUAGAGCUGAGACAAUAACUCAGGUCUCCUGAAUCCCACCCUUUUGUGCCCUUUCAUAGCACUUACCUUCUUUGUUUUAGAAGCUGAUGGAAACUGAUCAGAGCAGUGUGCCCUGUCUAUUGGCCUGGGAAAGCCAAAGUAGUCCAUCGUGCUGUGUCCCAUUUCCUUCUCCCUGCUGUGGUUUUCCAUUGACUCUAGUGAUGGUCAGCUGUGAAGUCUCUGACACAGGAGAGGUUUUUGUCUAAGAUAUCCCAGUGGGGUUUGCAGUGGACGCUUAACUAAGGGAAGCUGAACUAAGGAAAUUCCCAGCCCACCCACAUAUGACAAAUGGGGUAACUGAGGCACAGAAAGAUGAACGGAGAUGCCUAAUGGCCAGUGGCAGAGGUAAGAAAGAACCCAGGUCUCCUGAGUCCCAGUCCAGUGCACAACCACACUGCUUCUCAUCAGCGAAUGAAUCACGAUUGUUUUACAGCUGAAUGAAAAUGAUUAUUCACCACUGAUAAGACAAUUGGACGUCAUAUGCAAAUUCCUGCUCUCUAAUGGCCUCAUCAAAGCUUUUUUCUGAACCUCAGCCUUCUCUACUCUUUAAAAUGACAGUGAAAUUUUUUUUAUUUUGAUGCUCAAGAACUUUAUCAUCCAGAGAUUUCUGAUAAACGAAGUUCAGAGCCAUGUUUUCCUGGAGGCCUCAAAUGGCUUUCUGAAUUGGAGGGGUCAAAGCUGUGCGAGCCAGCACCUUGUAUUUUCGCACACACACUAGAAGGUAGUUGUCAGUCUGCCAGAUUUGCAUAGCAAAACAUAAUUUGCUAGUGCAAACAUGGGCUUUUUGCAUGUACACAAAAUCGUGGGCUCAGAUUUAGAGGUUUCUGUUGAAAAUAUUGCUACUGGGAUGUAUGUAGCAAAAUGUAUUCCGUCAGUUCCUGUCCUCCACUGCAGCCACUUUGCACCAGUCCACAAGCUCAAGGUACCAGGAAGCCGUCUGGUCUGGCUGCCUGAAUAUUCCAUCAGUGUGGGGAAGUCCCUAGAUGGCUUAUUGCUGGUAUAGUGGCUCUGACUCCUCGCCCCUCUCUGCCCCCUGACAUAGGUGGCAUGGCUGGGUGCCAUUGCAUCCAGCUGAACCCUGGCUGCUGGAGCUGUCCCUAUUGACUUUGGGCAGCCAACACAAUGUAGAGCAGCCCCAAGAGUACUCUAAGAUGUGCCUUUGGACCAGACUGGCAAUUUAAGGAUUGGGGUGGUUUAAAUCCUCUGUUAACUACUCUCUCCUGAAAGCACUGUGUACAGAAGGGUCAAGCUCCAGGAUCUGGUCCAUUGACUUUAUAUUUUGAUGAGUAUCAAGAUUUAUGGUCUCUCUAGAUCAGUGGUCUCCAAACUUUUUGGCUUGCGCACCCCCAGGGUGAAGACCGGAAGACCUGCCACAGACGCGCUGCCGGAGGGGAACACCAGCCGUGGACAUGCAGAGCUGCUGCUGAAGAAAAAAAAUGGCAGAGUGCCAUCUGGCAGUGCUCCUGCUGCCACGCACCCCCUGGGAUCAUCUCGAGGGUGUGCGUACCCCAGUUUGGAGAUCACUGCUCUAGGUAGUCACUGACCCUCAGCAGAAGGUCCAGUCUUUUCCCCUGUGGUCAAUGAACCCUGAAGCUUACUUCAGUGGAAGUUAAUAUUUAUUCUUCUUAAUCAUUUGCAUUUAUUGGUAUUAAAAUAAACGAAAGCAGAACAAAGUAGUUGCCUUGUUCCACUGAUUUUGUUGGGCACAGCUUGGUUCAGAGCUGAAUCACAUGGUCAGAUUUUCCAACACUAGCCAGAAAAGCUGACACUAGCCAAGGGAAAACUGCAUGUCAGACCAGGAGGGAUGCUGACCUUGAGGGUUAAAUUCCUUGAAGUGGUUUCGCAUG